GACGAACGCUGGCGGCGUGCUUAACACAUGCAAGUCGAACGGAAAGGCCCUGCUUUUGUGGGGUGCUCGAGUGGCGAACGGGUGAGUAACACGUGAGUAACCUGCCCUUGACUUUGGGAUAACUUCAGGAAACUGGGGCUAAUACCGGAUAGGAGCUCCUGCUGCAUGGUGGGGGUUGGAAAGUUUCGGCGGUUGGGGAUGGACUCGCGGCUUAUCAGCUUGUUGGUGGGGUAGUGGCUUACCAAGGCUUUGACGGGUAGCCGGCCUGAGAGGGUGACCGGCCACAUUGGGACUGAGAUACGGCCCAGACUCCUACGGGAGGCAGCAGUGGGGAAUAUCGCACAAUGGGCGGAAGCCUGAUGCAGCAACGCCGCGUGCGGGAUGACGGCCUUCGGGUUGUAAACCGCUUUCGCCUGUGACGAAGCGUGAGUGACGGGAAGGGGUAAAGAAGCACCGGCUAACUACG
rnacentral:rRNA from 1 species